rnacentral:tRNA from 1 species
AAGUAAGAAGCAAACAUUGCAAUCAGUUUCGACCUGAUCUUAGAUAAUUUAAAUUAUCCUUACUUU